rnacentral:rRNA from 1 species
AGUUUGAAAUGGAUUAGAACCCUAUAUUAAAAGUAUUUAUUCACUAAAGUAGUAAUAGUUAUGUUCUUGAACUUAAAAAAUUUGGCGGUAUUUUAGUCUAUCCAGAGGAACCUGUUUUGUAAUCGAUAAUCCACGAUGGACCUUACUUAAAUUUGUAAUCAGUUUAUAUACCGUCGUUAUCAGAAUAUUUUAUAAGAAUAAUAAUAUUCAAUAAUUUUUAUUAAAAUUUAUAUCAGAUCAAGGUGUAGCUUAUAUUUAAGUAAUAAUGGGUUACAAUAAAUAUAUUUAAACGAAUAAAACUAUGAAAAAGUUUUUUGAAGGUGGAUUUGGUAGUAAAAUUAUAAAGAUUAAUAAUUUGAUUUUAGCUCUAAAAUAUGUACACAUCGCCCGUCGCUCUUAUUAUUAAGGUAAGAUAAGUCGUAACAUAGUAA